rnacentral:misc_RNA from 1 species
AAGUCGUAACAAGGUUUCCGUAGGUGAACCUGCGGAAGGAUCAUUACAGAGUUCAUGCCCUCACGGGUAGAUCUCCCACCCUUGAAAUUCUUACCUUUGUUGCUUUGGCGGGCCGCGGCUUCCGCUACCGGCCCCGGCUGGUAUGUGCCCGCCAGAGAACCCAACUCUUGUUUUUAGUGAUGUCUGAGUACUAUAUAAUAGUUAAAACUUUCAACAACGGAUCUCUUGGUUCUG